UACCUCAGCUCAUCCAUUGCUAUCCAUUUCUGCCUACCAGCUUUACACUUGCAGGAUGGUUUGUACACAUAAAAUGACACUAUUUUCCUUUGUCUUUUCUCAGAAGAGGAGGCUGUAGAAAGUUCUGCUGAUGCCAUCACUGGAAUCACCCAACUUUGCUCUUCUGAUACCAACAAACAUAACAGAGUGAUACCUGAAGCAAUAGACACUGGUGCUACCGAAUGUGCCACGCAGCAGUCAAGCUGUGAAAACAGCGGUUGAGCAACAUUCAGGAAGAUGCUACAUAGCUUCUGACAGAGUUUCUGCUGCUGACUGUAGGAUUUGUUACACAAGGAGGAUGAGCUCCCCAAAGACAGCACCAUUUUCAAGCAGCUCCCAAAAAUGCAUCCUGGAAGUGUCAGCUCUGCUUUGGUGUUGUCCGUGGGCACCCAGAUCUACCUGUUGUUGUUGAGCUCAAAGGCAAUUCUUCUGGCCUUCUUGGAGCAGUCUAUGGAAAGAGGCUUCCUUAUACCAUCAUCUUUAGAAGAUGCAUCAAUUCAUACCAUCCCUAAUCCUUUCAAUCCUGCAAAUUAUGGUUCUUUGAAUUUUCCUUUCAAGUAUUGCAUAGUAUUUAUCAAGAAAAUAGGGGAGGCGUUGCUUUGUUUCUUAAUAUUUUGGUAUUCUAUGAUAAAUUCACAUGUUCAGUCUAUUAGAAUCAUGUAUCUUGGCUUUUUUGGCAUAUUUUGUGAUUUGUUGCAUGCUGAUGUAAUCUACUUAAGUGUAUAAUUCAUUAGUAAUCUCAAAUUACUCUUUGGCUAAACAAGAGGGAAUCAAAUAAAACUAUAAAGACUUUUGAUGUGAUUAAUACU
rnacentral:lncRNA from 1 species